rnacentral:rRNA from 1 species
CGGACGGGUGAGUAACGCGUGGGGAACCUGCCCUGUACCGGGGGAUAGCAGCCGGAAACGGCUGAUAAUACCGCAUAAGCGCACGAAUGUCGCAUGACAUGGUGUGAAAAACUCCGGUGGUAUAGGAUGGACCCGCGUCUGAUUAGCCUGUUGGUGGGGUAAAAGCCUACCAAAGCGAAGAUCAGUAGCCGAGUUGAGAGACUGACCGGCCACAUUGGGACUGAGACACGGCCCAGACUCCUACGGGAGGCAGCAGCA